rnacentral:miRNA from 15 species
CCGAUUGCGCGGACAUCUCAUC